UAGCUCAAUUGGUAGAGCAACUGACUUGUAAUCAGUAGGUUGGGGGUUCAAGU
rnacentral:tRNA from 1 species